AGCACAUGCAAAUGAGGAGUCAUUUUCUAAGAAAUCUUUGAUUCAUGCAGUUUCAUAAGAAAAUUUAUUUCUAGGAGAAGAAAUUCGAAACAAUUGCAAUUUGAUAACAGCCAUAACGAACAAGUACGAUAUUAUGCUAAAGAAUGGUCAAAUUGGGGGAAAAAAUAUAACUAAAAAAAAUGGAAUAAAAUCUGUUUUAAAUUGAAGGAAAUUGUAAAAAUGCUACAAAUAAAAAUACUUAAAAAUACUUAAAAUACGUUUAAUUCUAACUAACUAUUUU